CUCCCUUUACAUAACUCAUGCUCCAUCUGAGGAAAUGCAUCUUUCUCAGUGAGGAUAAAUAUAUAGAAGAACACAACCGGAGUUACCUGGUGAGUUGUCCAAGUCUGAAAAAUAACAUGAUAAACCAAACAAUAUCUGCAAGCAGAACUGCAAGAUCUCAUGACAAAACAAUUUUACAGCUGUUCUUCAGCGUAAAAUUGAGAGAAUGUCUGAAAGAUACAAUUUCACAAGAAUCUUGGCACUUAAACUAUUUAUUGUUGGAGAGAUGACGAAUAUGACUGCAAGCAAAAACAAAACUAUCUCAACAAGUGAAAAAAAAAAAAAAAAAGGCAAAAAAGCAGGGAGG